CCAAUAGCGUAUAUUAAAGUUGUUGCAGUUAAAAAGCUCGUAGUUGAAUUUCGGGGUCAGUAGGCUGGUCAUGCCACUGGUAUGUACUGGUCUCACUGAUUCCUCCUUCCUGAUGAACUGUAAUGCCAUUAAUUUGGUGUUGCAGGGAAUCUGGACUGUUACUUUGAAAAAAUUAGAGUGUUUAAAGCAGGCUAACGCCUGAAUACAUUAGCAUGGAAUAAUGAAAUAGGACGUUCGAUCCUAUUUUGUUGGUUUCUAGGAUUGACGUAAUGAUUAAUAGGGAUAGUUGGGGGCAUUAGUAUUCAAUUGUCAGAGGUGAAAUUCUUGGAUUUAUUGAAGACUAACUACUGCGAAAGCAUUUGCCAAGGAUGUUUUCAUUAAUCAAGAACGAAAGUUAGGGGAUCGAAGACGAUCAGAUACCGUCGUAGUCUUAACCAUAAACUAUGCCGACUAGGGAUCGGAUGAUGUUAAUUUUUUAAUGACUCAUUCGGCGCCUUACG
rnacentral:rRNA from 1 species